rnacentral:snRNA from 3 species
GUGCUUGCUUUGGCAGCACAUAUACUAAAAUUGGAACAAACAGAGAAGAUUAGCAUGGCCCCUGCACAAGGAUGACGUGUAAAUUCAUGAAGCGUUCUGUAUUUUU